UACGUAGGGGGCAAGCGUUGUCCGGAUUUAUUGGGCGUAAAGAGCUCGUAGGCGGUUUGGUAAGUCUGGUGUGAAAUCUCCACGCUCAACGUGGAGGGGCCACCCGAUACUGCCAUGACUGGAGUCCGGUAGAGGAGUGUGGAAUUCCCGGUGUAGCGGUGAAAUGCGCAGAUAUCGGGAGGAACACCAGUGGCGAAGGCGCUUUCUGGUCUGUAACUGACGCUGAGGCGCGAAAAGCGUGGGGGAGCAAACAGGGAUUAAG
rnacentral:rRNA from 1 species